GGCAGGGUAGCUCAGUGGUAGAGCAGGGGACUCAUAAGCCCUUGGUCGGGAGUUCAAAUCUCCCCCCUGCCACCU
rnacentral:tRNA from 1 species